GGGGAUUUAGCUCAGUGGCAUAAGCACCUGCCUUGCAAGCAGGCAGUCGUGAGUCUGCCUUGCAAGCAGGCAGUCGUGAGUUCAAUCCCCG
rnacentral:tRNA from 1 species